rnacentral:tRNA from 1 species
GGAGAGAUGGCUGAGUGGAUUAAGGCACUCGACUCGAAAUCGAGCGGGCGUGAAGAGCGCCCCGUGGGUUCGAAUCCCACUCUCUCCGCCA